rfam:Salmonella enterica subsp. enterica serovar Choleraesuis str. SC-B67, complete genome.
AUCUUCACGGUGACGCCGCGCCCGGUCUUAAAUCCCGCUUCUUCCAGCCAGUCGCCCUUAAGGUGCAGGCUGGGGAUUUGUGAGUAACAGGUGGUUAUACAGGUUUCGCUGUUGAUGUGGCGGACGCUG